AGGACGAACGCUGGCGGCGCGCUUAACACAUGCAAGUCGAGCGAGAACCAAGCCUUCGGGCUUGGGGAAAGCGGCGAACGGGUGAGUAACACGUGGGUAACCCACCCUUGGUACUGGGAUAGCCCGAGGAAACUCGGAUUAAUACCAGAUGGCCCAACAGGCUCUCGAGCCGGUUGGAAAAGGUAGCUUCGGCCUCCGACCAAGGACGGGCCCGCGGCGGAUUAGCUUGUUGGUGAGGUAACGGCUCACCAAGGCGACGAUCCGUAGCUGGUCUGAGAGGACGAUCAGCCACACUGGGACUGAGACACGGCCCAGACUCCUACGGGAGGCAGCAGUGGGGAAUCUUGCGCAAUGGGCGAAAGCCUGACGCAGCGACGCCGCGUGGGGGAAGAAGGCUUUCGGGUUGUAAACCCCUUUCAGGAGGACGAAGCCACUCAGGUUAAUAGCCGAGAGGGUGACGGUACUUCCAGAAGAAGCCCCGGCUAACUACGUGCCAGCAGCCGC
rnacentral:rRNA from 1 species